UAUGAAUGGUUCGAAGCAGCCACCCAGUUAGAGCCCUCACCAAUUCCAAGACAGGUGGAUAUGAUAGAACCCCACGCAGCAUCAGAAAUCUUCCCAGAUUUGCUACCUGAUCCUUUCCCCUUCUGCUUUAUUGCGGGACCAACGCUCAAUCAGUCUGCUUUGACGUGCUAUUGGAUGAAUGGGUCAUACUAGCAGCCAAGAGACUAGAACUUACCAGGGGCCUCUGGAGAUGGAGACUCAGCUGAGACGUCUCUACCUCUCCCCAAAGCCCAGGACUUCUCGUCCUGCUCCUGAUAACCUCCACGAGGCGCUUCUCUGACGUCCUGCCAGACAGAAACUUGGUUAACUCUUCUCCUGGUUUCUACUGAAAUGGAAAUAGGUUCUACACACAGCCAAGUAUUCUGGGUUUUUUUCUUAAUAAAACUUUGAGCAGAGCAA